UCCCUGGUGGCUCAGUGGUAAAGAAUCUGCCUGCAAUGCAGGAGACCUGAGUUCGAUCCCUAGGUAGGGAA
rnacentral:tRNA from 1 species